rnacentral:rRNA from 1 species
GCAGUCGAGCGGUAGCACAGAGAGCUUGCUCUCGGGUGACGAGCGGCGGACGGGUGAGUAAUGUCUGGGAAACUGCCUGAUGGAGGGGGAUAACUACUGGAAACGGUAGCUAAUACCGCAUAACGUCGCAAGACCAAAGUGGGGGACCUUCGGGCCUCAUGCCAUCAGAUGUGCCCAGAUGGGAUUAGCUAGUAGGUGGGGUAACGGCUCACCUAGGCGACGAUCCCUAGCUGGUCUGAGAGGAUGACCAGCCACACUGGAACUGAGACACGGUCCAGACUCCUACGGGAGGCAGCAGUGGGGAAUAUUGCACAAUGGGCGCAAGCCUGAUGCAGCCAUGCCGCGUGUGUGAAGAAGGCCUUCGGGUUGUAAAGCACUUUCAGCGGGGAGGAAGGCGGUGAGGUUAAUAACCUUGUCGAUUGACGUUACCCGCAGAAGAAGCACCGGCUAACUCCGUGCCAGCAGCCGCGGUAAUACGGAGGGUGCAAGCGUUAAUCGGAAUUACUGGGCGUAAAGCGCACGCAGGCGGUCUGUCAAGUCGGAUGUGAAAUCCCCGGGCUCAACCUGGGAACUGCAUUCGAAACUGGCAGGCUAGAGUCUUGUAGAGGGGGGUAGAAUUCCAGGUGUAGCGGUGAAAUGCGUAGAGAUCUGGAGGAAUACCGGUGGCGAAGGCGGCCCCCUGGACAAAGACUGACGCUCAGGUGCGAAAGCGUGGGGAGCAAACAGGAUUAGAUACCCUGGUAGUCCACGCCGUAAACGAUGUCGAUUUGGAGGUUGUGCCCUUGAGGCGUGGCUUCCGGAGCUAACGCGUUAAAUCGACCGCCUGGGGAGUACGGCCGCAAGGUUAAAACUCAAAUGAAUUGACGGGGGGCCCGCACAAGCGGUGGAGCAUGUGGUUUAAUUCGAUGCAACGCGAAGAACCUUACCUGGUCUUGACAUCCACAGAACUUUCCAGAGAUGGAUUGGUGCCUUCGGGAACUGUGAGACAGGUGCUGCAUGGCUGUCGUCAGCUCGUGUUG